AACUUCCUCUGGCGACACCAUUCUCUGAAUUCGAAUUUGAACUACAAGGGCUGGGAUUUGAAAGGGGUUGGGGUGACACAGCACAGAAGGUUUCAGAAAUGGUGCAUCUCCUUCUGGACAUACUCCAGGCACCUGAUCCUUCC